rnacentral:rRNA from 1 species
ACCAGACUCCUACGGGAGGCAGCAGUGGGGGAUAUUGCACAAUGGGGGGAACCCUGAUGCAGCGACGCCGCGUGGGUGAAGAAGCGCCUCGGCGCGUAAAGCCCUGUCAGCAGGGAAGAAAAUGACGGUACCUGAAGAAGAAGCCCCGGCUAACUACGUGCCAGCAGCCGCGGUAAUACGUAGGGGGCAAGCGUUAUCCGGAUUUACUGGGUGUAAAGGGGGCGCAGACGGCGAUGCAAGCCAGGAGUGAAAGCCCGGGGCCCAACCCCGGGACUGCUCUUGGAACUGCGUGGCUGGAGUGCAGGAGGGGCAGGCGGAAUUCCUGGUGUAGCGGUGAAAUGCGUAGAUAUCAGGAGGAACACCGGUGGCGAAGGCGGCCUGCUGGACUGCAACUGACGUUGAGGCCCGAAAGCGUGGGGAGCAAACAGGAUUAGAUACCCCAGUAA